AAGACCACACUCAUGUCAAACCCAUUUGCCAAACUAGCACCUCAUUACUCGCCUCUCGUUUCUAUGAAACUGCAGCCGCUACUAGAGCUGCCUUUCUCUGUACUCUCAACGAAGCAAUUCUUGCUUGUUCCACAUCAGUUUUAGCACUGUAAACUCUUUCUUGACAUGUUUUCAAAAUGGGCGAGCUUGUUUUCUCCUGUGUUGUCGAAGAAUCAGAUACAGUCGAUCUUGCAAACUAAUUUCAUAGCCUUCUGAGAUACAAAUUGAAAGGGAGCUGAUUCAACAUUAGGCAGCAUGAACAAACUAAACUUUGACUUCACUAGAUCUCAACCUUUGAAUUUAACCACCACUAAUGAGGAUGAUCUGGUGCAAUUGUGUCUUGCACUUUCUUUCUCGCUUGUUUGGUUGCUUGCUUUGCAAUUUCGGGUAGGCUAGUUUGAACCCAGAAUCAAGACUUAGUUGAAUCUGAAAAUUAAGUGAAUUGAUAAAUGCACUACUGAGCGAGUCAUUUCAAUUAUGCGGCAUUGCUGGUAAUAAUUCUAUUCCUGAUACUGAAAUACCUUGCGGACUUUCAUACGGAGAUUACGGAAGCUAACCCAUUAUUGCCUUAUGCAAAGACAAAGAGACCAGACGAUUUCGUCUCAUCUUGGUCGACAAAUACAAAGUCUCCAUUAAUGUCGUCUGUCAAAGAAAGAAACAGACUAGUUAAAAGUAGAGAUACUAAAAGUCAUUAUCGCUAUUAUUAGAAAGAAGAGAAAACCU